GACGAACGCUGGCGGCAGGCUUAACACAUGCAAGUCGAACGCAUCCUUUUAGGGUGAGUGGCAGACGGGUGAGUAACGCGUGGGAACGUGCCCUUCAGUUCGGGAUAACCCAGGGAAACUUGGGCUAAUACCGGAUACGUGCGAGAGCAGAAAGAUUUAUCGCUGAAGGAUCGGCCCGCGUCUGAUUAGCUAGUUGGUGGGGUAAUGGCCCACCAAGGCGACGAUCAGUAGCUGGUCUGAGAGGAUGAUCAGCCGCAUUGGGACUGAGACACGGCCCAAACUCCUACGGGAGGCAGCAGUGGGGAAUAUUGGACAAUGGGCGCAAGCCUGAUCCAGCCAUGCCGCGUGAGUGAUGAAGGCCUUAGGGUUGUAAAGCUCUUUCGUCCGGGACGAUAAUGACGGUACCGGAAGAAGAAGCCCCGGCUAACUACGUGCCAGCCGCCGCGGUAACAC
rnacentral:rRNA from 1 species